AACGAACGCUGGCGGCAGGCUUAACACAUGCAAGUCGAACGCAUCCUUCGGGGUGAGUGGCAGACGGGUGAGUAACGCGUGGGAACGUGCCCUUCAGUUCGGGAUAACCCAGGGAAACUUGGGCUAAUACCGGAUACGUGCGAGAGCAGAAAGAUUGAUCGCUGAAGGAUCGGCCCGCGUCUGAUUAGCUAGUUGGUGAGGUAAUGGCUCACCAAGGCGACGAUCAGUAGCUGGUCUGAGAGGAUGAUCAGCCACACUGGGACUGGGACACGGCCCAGACUCCUACGGGAGGCAGCAGUGGGGAAUAUUGGACAAUGGGCGCAAGCCUGAUCCAGCCAUGCCGCGUGAGUGAUGAAGGCCUUAGGGUUGUAAAGCUCUUUCGGCGGGGACGAUAAUGACGGUACCCGCAGAAGAAGCCCCGGCUAACUUCGUGCCAGCCGCCGCAGUAA
rnacentral:rRNA from 1 species